CAGCAGCCAAUCAGAAGCUACGCAGGCCACGCUCAGCCUGUCGGCUCGGAGAGUAAGUGCAGUCGCGUUGCUCUUCCAGUCUUUUCGGAUCUCAGCCAGAGAAGCGAGGGCAGCUGUGUGUUAAGGAGAAGAGGAAAACCAGAGAAAAAACCCAGAGUGAAACCUGUGAAAAAGGAAAAAGAGUCGGAGCACUUACCCAGUGGAGGUCCGGAGCCAAGUGGCUGAACGAAGGAGAGUUACGUCGCAGGCUAACUGCUUGCCUGUCCUCCGGAGAGCUGUUACGAGGUUCGGCAUGGGCAUGCUCCACCUUGAUACACAGAGCAACGGUCAGGUUUUUUAGAGGACUGAAGAGUCUGAGGUUCAGGACAACUUCCUGCUGUAAAAGAUGGCGAGCCAACUACCCUGAUUGAAGAUUAGCACCGAGGAGAUAUUCACGUACACACUCAUUCACACAAAUAAUACACUCACAUUACACUACAAGGAACCUUGGAAUCAGGUGAACUUGCAACAACUCCUUUUAUUUUAAGGGCCCCAACAGACAUUUUUGUUUUAAGUGUGAACACUACUUUUUUUUAUUUUUCUUACCGUUUGGUAUAAUAUUUUGCAUUUUGUACGAACCAGACAAAUUACUUUGUUCACUGUAAAAUAUAAGAGUGGCU
ensembl:lncRNA